rnacentral:rRNA from 1 species
CCUACGGGAGGCAGCAGUGGGGAAUAUUGCGCAAUGGGGGCAACACUGACGCAGCAACGCCGCGUGAUUGAAGAAGGCCUUCGGGUUGUAAAGAUCUUUAAUCGGGGACGAAUUUUGACGGUAGCCGAAGAAUAAGCUCUGGCGAACUACGUGCCAGCAGCCGCGGUAAUACGUAGGGAGCAAGCGGUAGCCGGAUUUACUGGGGGGAAAGGGCGCGUAGGCGGGGAUGUAAGCAAGUAGUGAAAUGGUGGGGCUUAACCCUCAAAAUGCUUUUGGUACUGUGUGUCUUGAGUGAUGGAGAGGCAGGCGGAAUUCCCAGUGUAGCGGUGAAAUGCGUAGAUAUUGGGAGGAACACCAGUGGCGAAGGCGGCCUUCUGGACAUUAACUGACGCUGAGGCGCGAAAGCGUGGGGAGCAAACAGGAUUAGAUACCCUUGUAGUC